rnacentral:piRNA from 1 species
UGCUGUGCUUAUGAUGGCACUGGAG